rfam:Myotis brandtii contig166934, whole genome shotgun sequence.
GGCCUCCCUCUGUGGGCAAUUGAUCGCGGGGUCCCCAGAUCGAUUGCCCUGCAGAGGGAGGCC